rnacentral:rRNA from 1 species
ACGUACACUCCUACGGGAGGCAGCAGUGGGGAAUAUUGGACAAUGGGCGCAAGCCUGAUCCAGCCAUGCCGCGUGAGUGAUGAAGGCCCUAGGGUUGUAAAGCUCUUUCACCGGUGAAGAUAAUGACGGUAACCGGAGAAGAAGCCCCGGCUAACUUCGUGCCAGCAGCCGCGGUAAUACGAAGGGGGCUAGCGUUGUUCGGAUUUACUGGCCGUAAAGCGCACGUAGGCGGACUAUUAAGUCAGGGGUGAAAUCCCGGGGCUCAACCCCGGAACUGCCUUUGAUACUGGUAGUCUUGAGUUCGAGAGAGGUGAGUGGAAUUCCGAGUGUAGAGGUGAAAUUCGUAGAUAUUCGGAGGAACACCAGUGGCGAAGGCGGCUCACUGGCUCGAUACUGACGCUGAGGUGCGAAAGCGUGGGGAGCAAACAGGAUUAGAAACCCCGGUAGUCCCA